CCUACGGGUGGCAGCAGUCGAGAAUCAUUCACAAUGGACGAAAGUCUGAUGGUGCAACGCCGCGUGGAGGAUGACGGCCCUAGGGUUGUAAACUCCUGUCAUCAGGGAGUAAGACUUAUUCGUUAAUAGCGUGUAAGUUUGAUAGUACCUGAAGAGGAAGGGACGGCUAACUUCGUGCCAGCAGCCGCGGUAAUACGAAGGUCCCAAGCGUUGUUCGGAAUAACUGGGCGUAAAGCGUGUGUAGGCCGCGCGGAAAGUCGGAUGUGAAAGCCCAAGGCUUAACCUUGGAACUGCAUUCGAUACUCCCGUGCUAGAGUAAUGGAGAGGUAAGUGGAAUUCUCGGUGUAGCAGUGAAAUGCGUAGAUAUCGAGAGGAACAUCAAUGGCGAAGGCAACUUACUGGACAUUUACUGACGCUCAGACACGAAGGCUAGGGGAGCGAAAGGGAUUAGAUACCCCUGUAGUCCUAGCAGUAAACGGUGCUCGCUUGGUGUGGGGAGGUUCGACCCUCUCUGUGCCGGAGCUAACGCGUUAAGCGAGCCGCCUGGGAAGUACGGUCGCAAGACUAAAACUCAAAGAAAUUGACGGGGACCCGCACAAGCGGUGGAGUAUGUGGCUUAAUUCGAUGCAACGCGAAGAACCUUACCUAGGCUUGACAUGCUUGUCGUAUUCUCCCGAAAAGGAGAAGUCGCUUCGGGCGGACAAUGCACAGGUGCUGCAUGGCCGUCGUCAGCUCGUGUCGUGAGAUGUUUGGUUAAGUCCAGCAACGAGCGCAACCCCUGUGAACUGUUGCCAGCGGAUAAUGCCGGGGACUCUGUUCAGACUGCCCAGAUCAACUGGGAGGAAGGUGGGGACGACGUCAGGUCAGUAUGGCCCUUACGCCUAGGGCUGCACACGUACUACAAUGCCCAGCACAAUGAGAACCAAUACCGCGAGGUGGAGGAAAUCUGUAAAACUGGGCCCAGUUCGGAUUGGAGGCUGCAACUCGCCUCCAUGAAGUUGGAAUCGCUAGUAAUGCCGUAUCAGCUACGACGGCGUGAAUACGUUCCCGGGUCUUGUACACACCGCCCGUCACAUCAUGGAAGUCGGUCGCACCCGAAGUAUAUGCGCUAACUUUCGAGAAGCAGUAUCCUAAGGUGAGGCUGGUAACUGGGAUGAAGUCGUAACAAGGUAGCCGUAGGGGAACCUGCGGCUGGAUCACCUCCUUU
rnacentral:rRNA from 1 species